ACUAAAUAGAUACCCCGGUAGUCCACGCCGUAAACGAUGAGUGCUAGGUGUCACGGGCUUUGACCCUCGUGGUGCCGAAAAGCUAAACGCGUUAAGCACUCCGCCUGGGGAGUACGGUCGCAAGACUAAAACUCAAAGAAAUUGACGGGGGCCCGGCACAAGCGGUGGAGCAUGUUGUUUAAUUCGACGCAACGCGAAGAACCUUACCUGGGCUAGAAAGUACAGGAAGCCGGUCGAAAGGUCGAUGUGCCCUUCGGGGUAACCGUGUGGUUUAGGUUGCUGCAUGGCUGUCGUCAGCUCGUGUCGUGAGAUGUUGGGUUAAGUCCCGCAACGAGCGCAACCCUGUUGUUAGUUUGCAGCAUUAAGUUGGGCACUCUAACAAGACUGCCGACCGUUUAAGUCGGAGGAAGGUGGGGAUGACGUCAAGUCAUCAUGG
rnacentral:rRNA from 1 species